AAGUCGUAACAAGGUCUCCGUUGGUGAACCAGCGGAGGGAUCAUUACUGAGUUACCGCUCUAUAACCCUUUGUGAACAUACCUAACUGUUGCUUCGGCGGGCAGGGGGUGCCGCCUGCGGACCCCCCUCCCGGCCCUGCCCUCACGGGCGGAGCGCCCGCCGGAGGAUACCAAACUCUAUUUUAACGACGUUUCUUCUGAGUGGCACAAGCAAAUAAUUAAAACUUUCAACAACGGAUCUCUUGGUUCUG
rnacentral:misc_RNA from 1 species